GGAAGGAUACCAAGAUGAUCCACACCUCAGCUUUAAAGUAAUUAUUCAUUUUAACUGACCUGAUGUUAGACAUCCCCUGGAUAAUUCCACAGGGAAGACAUCCUAUGGGGACGGUUUCUUCCUGGGAUGAGUAGAAUGGAAGCCCUAUGCAUAAUUCAGUUCGUGGAGAAGAGCAAAGGAUGGACUUAUGGUCCCAAUUUGGAGAUGAAGCAUGGUGACAAACGUCAAUGGGAAGCAUACACAUUGCAAAGUGGCUUCUCUCAGGUAA
rnacentral:lncRNA from 1 species